rnacentral:tRNA from 1 species
CCGGUCUUGAAAACCGGUAUAGUUCAAAAACUAUCGAGGGUUCGAAUCCCUCUCUCUCCU